UCUUGUUGUCGACUGGUGGUGGAGUUGUGGGUGGAGAUGCCAACGAUUGAUGCUGGUGUUGGUUGUUGGAAGAAAGUUUGUGGUGGUGAGGAAGAAGUUUGUAAUGACUACUCCUGACGCAAGGGUGGCCUAUUGAUGGUCGGGUGGGUGGCUUAUGGCGGAGCUGUUUGUGGAGAGGCUAGUGUCAAGCUCGUUGUGGCUGAGGGCACGACAGAAAGAGAAUGAAUAAUAAUGGCAAAAAAAAAACUAUGGAGAAAACUAGUGUUUUUG
rnacentral:lncRNA from 1 species